UGGUGUGUAUCAUCCAAGGAAACCAGAUAGGAUUUGUGUGGUCUUCGACAGUAGUGCGUCAUGCGAAGGAGUGUCACUCAACGAUGUCUUGCUAACUGGUCCCAACCUUAAUAAUAGCCUGCUUGGUGUCCUUAUGAGGUUCAGGAAGGAACAGGUGGCGAUCACUGCCGACAUCGAGCACAUGUUCCACUGCUUUGUAGUCAAGGAAGACCAUCGUGACUUUCUUCGCUUCCUGUGGUACAGGGACAACGACCCUACCUCCGACAUCAUUGAUUACAGAAUGCGGGUUCACCUUUUUGGGAAUAGUCCCUCGCCUGCCGUAGCAGUGUAUGGUCUGCGACGGGCAGCUAAGAAAGCAGAAGCAGACUAUGGUAGUGAUGCAAGAAGAUUCAUCGACCGCGAGUUCUAUGUUGACGACGCUUUGAAGUCCUUCAGCACAGAAGAAGAGGCCAUCAGCGUCCUAGGGCGAGCUCAGAAGAUGCUUGCAACUUCCAACCUCAGGCUACACAAAAUUGCUUCAAACCGACCGGCAGUUAUCGAAGCGUUUCCAUUUGAAGAUCGCACCAAGGACGUCAACAGCCUAGAUCUCUUCGUUGAUGAUUUGCCAAUACAACGUAGCCUUGGAUUGCUCUGGAACAUGCGCACAGAUACAUUCAUGUUUCGAAUCGAAGAUGACCAGAGGCCAUUCACUCGUAGAGGAGUGCUUUCGACUGUGAACAGCCUCUACGAUCCUCUAGGAUUCCUCGCACCCAUCACGGUUCAUGGAAGACUGAUACUCAGAGAGCUAACUAAGCAAGCAGAGGAUUGGGACACACCUCUUCCCAAAGACAUGGAGACUGAAUGGACUAGAUGGAAACGGUCGCUCCAAGAUCUGCACGGACUCCAGAUACCACGCCCUUAUACGUCAUUCUCCACCGCAGGUGCUCUAAGAAGAGAGCUCUGUGUCUUUGCAGAUGCAUCGGUAAAGGCAAUAGCAGCCGUAGCCUACAUCAAGGUGACAAGCCACCAGGAACAGACUGAGAUUGGCUUUGUCUUCGGGAAAGCAAAGUUGGCGCCUCAGCCCGAUCUAACCAUCCCAAGGCUUGAGCUUUGUGCGGCUGUACUCGCCAUCGAGAUCGCUGAGAUGAUAGUUUCAGAGAUGGACACCAUGUUCGACAACAUCGCCUACUACACAGAUAGCAAGGUUGUAUUGGGAUACAUCCAGAACCAGUCGAGAAGAUUCUAUGUCUACGUACACAACAGGAUCCAAAGAAUCCGUCAAUCACCUUGUUCUGGCCUUUGGAAGUACGUCCCA
ensembl:lncRNA